rnacentral:tRNA from 1 species
GAUUAGCUUCAUAUCAAUAAAGCGAACCCUUACAUGGUUACGGCAAUUGAUUUGAAAUCAAUUCCUCUUUGAGGGUGUAGGUUCAAAUCCUGCCAUCAUCA